UUUCUUUGUUGUGGACACUGUUGAGUGUGUUUUACUGGUAAGAGGUUAGAGCAUGGCUAAAGGGUUAGAAACCUGAGCAUGAUACAAACCUUGGAGCUUAGAAAAAAGAAAUGGACUGACAGAACUCUAAAUAUUCCUGCUAAACCCAAGUCUGACAAUACUCAAGUUUAAAAAGGAAAGAGGACACUGGAGAUGGUGGAAGAACCAGAAAGCUACACUGCUUUUUCAUGGUGUAAACUACUGCUGAAAAUCAAAAAGAAGAAGAAAAAAGCCCUUGAUUUGUUGUUCUGAAUAAAGUGACAUUAAGAGAACAUAUGCUUCCUUUUCACAUAUUACUUAAGAGAUUCUGACACUGUGUCCAAAGCAACUCCAUCUUCAAGGGGGAAAAAAGAAAAUCAUGCCAAAUCUGAUAGUCUUCUGAUGUGUUCCAUUAGUUGUGGAUUUCUACAAGGAUUUUUCAAACAAAAAAUUAAUUAUUAUAAACAGCAAUGGCUUUACUCAAGAUGCCACAAAUAAGGUAACAGAAGCAUGUCAAAGUGGUACAGUUUGAGCUGAAAUCUAACUAUUCUACAGCAGCGGAAAGGGUUGAAGAUAACCUUGUUCAUCAGAGGUAUAUUAGAAAUUAUUUGUAACAGCAGCUCCACUAUUUGACCCAUGCUUUUCAGAGAAGUUUAGAAAAGUAUUUUCACACAGUAUGUGCCCAAUUUUUUUUUUAAUUAACCUCUGCACUUUAUUUAAGUUCUGUAAAAGUUUGUAACUAGAGACUGCAGACCAGCUGCCCAUCCAAAGUAAGCAGCAAAGUUAGAUGGAGGAGAAGAAAUGAAAACCAGAUUAAGCUGCUAGAAUAUUUUUUUUCAUUUGAAUUAAUUUGAGGGCCUAUAUGGUUUGAUUCAAUACAAAAACAGUGCACAGUGUGUGGAGAGAACACAAAGAAUACACACAGUAAUUAUUUACCUGAGAAAUUUGUAUAAAGAGUUGUGGAAAAAAGGAGAAGGA